UUUUCUGUGUUUAAUUCUCCUGCAAUCUUAUGAACAUCACCACUUGUAUCUCAGAGACAAGAUGAGCAAGAAUCAAAAAAAGUAGAAGCAUGUGCAUCGUCAUGGUGUAGGAGUCAAGGCCUGACCUGUGACUGCGGGGCCAACCCGUGUUCCUCCCACUCUGCCACUGCCACCUCGGCACGUAGAGGGCAAGGCAGGGUAGGUGUGGGAUCUGUGCCCAAGAGCUCAUCUUCCUGAUGGCUGUAAGGAAGAGCGUCUGCUGCCUAGGACCUACCUCUUGUGUCCAGGUGAAGGAGCUGUUUCCUCUCUUCAGAUAAAGGGGAGGAAAUGGUGCCAGGGAGCACAGACCCCCAAUAAAGCACAACUGGAGCCACCCUGACAGGCGCAGCACCCCGGACAGCAAGGAGGAUGGCUUGGUGUGCACCCCUUGCUGGCUCUGAAGAGCAGGGAGGGCCACUGGCAGACUCGUGGAAGUUAAUGACUGGAGCUUUCUGGCUUCAAUGCUGUUCAAAAACAGAGUACGAUGGGAAGACAGAGCCAUGCAGACCUGCUCAGAUGCUUGCUACAGCCACACAGUUUCACCUUCGGGGCUCUCUGAGGGAGAUGAGGCCUGGUGCAGAUUGGAGCGGCUCACAGCUGUGCUCAGCUAUGUGGAUACUCCACGUGGGCACCUUCCCCAGCACUGAUCGGGAGCUAAGGCACUGUGAUCACUUUGGCCCCUGUCCUACUUUGUUUGCUGAAUCUUUUCCCAAACCUUUUGGGGCACAAAACAACAAAUAUCAGGAUGUGAAGCAGGAUAACACCAAAGGGAGGAUAAGAGGAACUACGGCAUCAAGAGACUCGUCCUGUUGGGGGGUUCUACAAAGGAACAGCUGGCAGUUCUGGCCUGGGAGUCUCAUGAGGUCCCAUCGUGGCCACCUGAGGCUGCGGCUGGUGGAGGCUUGAGCAGAGCCCGAGGAGUUGCCUCCAGAGCAGCUCACUCCCAUGCCUGCGGUUGAGCAGCAAACAGGAAGUUCCCAGAGCCCCAUCAAAUCUCCACAGACCUACAGGGGCAACCUGAGUGUCCUCCGCACAGGACAGCAGGCUCCUCAGAGUGGCACAUCCAGGAGGAACCAUGUCUGGUGUGCUCCAGCCCUGAAGCCAAAAACUGCUCCUUCCACAACUGGACUCUUCAGAAGAAAGUCACUGCCUGUGCUCCCCUAAGAGGGGAAGGGUUAGGAAGGCACAGACACAGGUAGAGCCACAAAAGGGCACAUCAGUUUAUCAGUCUCUUCAAAGAACCCAUAUUUGUUGAUUCCAUUGUAGGUUUAUCCUCUUAUCUAUUAAUGCUGGUCUUUUUCUUCACAGUUUCUUUUCCCCUCCUACCUUCUUUGAAUUUAAUUUACCAUUCUUUGUUAAAUGUCUUAAGAUGGCUGUGCAAAACAAUUACUCUUUCUUCUUUUAUGGUAUGGACAUUAAGGUCAUAAAUUGAACUCUAAGAAUGAUUUUAGCUAAAUUUUGUAAUUUUGAUGUCACCUUUAAAAGCUAUAACCAAGUUCAAAUUCUGAAUUUUAUGAUUAAAUUACUUAGAUAUUAUUUUAGGUAUUUUUCUUUAUGUCCAGAUGUUUGCAAGAUUUUAGUUAUUUUAUGUAAUAACUAGGUAAUAUAUUUUACUUAGAUAACAUACUUUAUAUAUUUCAAUAGCAUGAAUAGUCUACAUGUUUAGGAAUAUAUUGUUUUACAUAUAUAACUUAGAUAAACAUGAUUGUG